CUCGGAGCUCUUAAAUUUGUACCGCAUGCUGUUUACAAACUCCUUGAGAACAUGCCUAUGCCGUGGGAGCAGGUUCGAGAUGUAAAAAUCCUGUACCAUAUUACUGGUGCUAUUACAUUCGUUAACGAGAUUCCAUGGGUUGUUGAACCUAUAUAUCUGGCUCAGUGGGGCACAAUGUGGAUCAUGAUGAGAAGGGAGAAGAGAGACCGGCGACAUUUCAAGAGAAUGCGUUUUCCUCCCUUUGACGAUGAGGAACCACCGUUAGAUUAUGCUGAUAAUCUUUUGGAUGUUGAUCCUUUGGAGCCAAUCCAGUUGGAGUUGGAUGAAGAAGAGGAUUCUGCGGUUUAUAACUGGUUUUAUGACCAUAAGCCACUGGUGAAAACAAAGCUUAUUAAUGGUCCUAGUUACCGCAGGUGGCAUUUGUCCCUCCCUAUAAUGGCAACACUUCACCGACUGGCUGGACAGCUUCUUUCAGACCUGACUGAUCGCAAUUACUUCUACUUGUUUGAUAUGGAGUCCUUUUUCACUGCUAAAGCAUUGAACAUGUGCAUACCUGGUGGUCCAAAGUUCGAACCUUUAUAUCGUGACAUGGAG
rnacentral:misc_RNA from 1 species